AUACGUAGGUGGCAAGCGUUGUCCGGAAUUAUUGGGCGUAAAGCGCGCGCAGGUGGUUCCUUAAGUCUGAUGUGAAAGCCCCCGGCUCAACCGGGGAGGGUCAUUGGAAACUGGGGAACUUGAGUGCAGAAGAGGAUAGUGGAAUUCCAAGUGUAGCGGUGAGAUGCGUAGAGAUUUGGAGGAACACCAGUGGCGAAGGCGACUGUCUGGUCUGUAACUGACACUGAGGCGCGAAAGCGUGGGGAGCAAACAGGAUUAGAUACCCUGGUAGUCCACGCCGUAAACGAUGAGUGCUAAGUGUUGGGGGGUUUCCGCCCCUCAGUGCUGCAGCUAACGCAUUAAGCACUCCGCCUGGGGAGUACGGUCGCAAGACUGAAACUCAAAGGAAUUGACGGGG
rnacentral:rRNA from 1 species